CAGGGGAUUGCAGUGGCAAAGCUAGGCUAGGUCUUGGAGGCUGGUGUAAGGCGAUGCGGGUGAAGGCAGGAGGCUGAUGGAAAGACUGGGGGGAAGAAAAGCCGAAAUGGAUUCACGGUGCCUUGGAUGAAGGACGAGAGGGGAACUGCAAGCUCCUUCAACUGGUUCUGUCCGGUGAGAAGUGAUCAAGCUUGGGCUGACAAGAGGCUCAGGGAGCCCUCACGUUCUUUCGCUUUUUUACCUGCCAAUCAAACUGCUACAAGACAACACCCUGAUCUGGCAUGGACAUUCAUUGCAGUCACCUGGAGUCGCGGAAAUGACCAUGAUUGCCUGAACUUUCAUAACUUCUGUGGUUGCAGAAAAGAGAAAACCUGGACUGUGAGGGACAUUUUACUCCCUGACCUUUGGCCUCCCUACAGCGUUGGCUCAGCUCUAGCUACUUGGAAGGUCGUGGCAAUGCUGUCUCAGAAUGUCCAUUUCUAGAGUACAGGGAAGAAAUUCUAGCUUGACGUCCACGUGCAUUUGUCUGUGUUUCAGAGGAAAUUCCAGUUCUAAACUCUUGGAAGAAACAAUUUCUCGGCAUGCUGAAGAGACUUGCUGUUUUUUGGCACCUGAAACAUUUUUACCUGAGGGUUCUGAUUAUUUAAAUAAUUGGUAUGCUAUAACUAUUCUGGCUGACAGAAAUGUGGUUUAAUGUAGAUGAGUUGUAAAAACAUGUGACAAACAUGCUCCAGGCUA
rnacentral:sRNA from 1 species